AGCGACUUUAGAGAAAUGGUGAAUGAGUGAGAACACAAGAAAAGGUUUUUGUCGUGGACUAGGCUCACAUUAACCACAGGAUGUAACUCUUGGGUCGCUCAUUUGACAGACGCAGAAACCGGAUUAAUUGCUGUUGACGAUGAGUUUUACGAUAUUAUCAAUGUCUUUUGACAUGAUUGACAAAUCGCAGCUCUGGAUCUAACAGAAUAUUUUAACCCACUUUUGCUCUGAGCAAAAUUUUAACCCACUCUUGCUCUCAGCCUCUUAUUUGGCCUCACCCAUUAACAAAUGGAUAUUGAGUAAUUGUGGUAGCAUUUGUGCAGCAUUGUACCUAACGAUAAUCUUCAUUUCUGUUUGCACGGAUAGUGCAUCGCUAAGCUGCCCGGAAUAUACGGAGGAACCGGUGCAAUGUUUCCAUACGACAGCAAGUGUUUGGCGUUGCCGAAAGAGAACUUUCCCGCCCUCGGGUCGGAAGGAGGGGAAGGUUCAGAAUCAACCAGUAUCAAUGAAGGCUUUAGUAGUAAUAUUACCGCCAGCUUGCUGCUAAAAUUUAAUUAGCCAAGCAACGGCAGUAACAGUGACAGAAACCAGAAAAAAUAGGUCAAGCUGGUUUAGCUCCGAACCAAGUACCAGCAUUAUCCCUGUCUCCAAUCGACCACCGACCGCGACAACUAAUGGGGAGGAAGAAACCCAGUGCAGCGGACUUUCCGGUGUUGGUAGGAACCACUAAGUCGGGCAUUAAGAAAUCCGACUUGUAUGCGGAUCUCGAAGGUAGCAACGGUAUGGUAAAUUUUAACGCUAUGUCAACCGAGAUAUGGUGGAUGAUUACGUGUCCGUUUCUAGCACAGUGUACAAAGUAGGGCAUUGCAAAAUCUCAUAUUGUGAAAAAACCUCAGAAUUUUCCAGGUUCAACAAGUUACAUUUUAUGAAAAUUGA